UACGGGGGCGGAGCAGCUGUUCGGUGAAUUACUGGGCGUAAGGGCUCGUAGGCGGCCAACUAAGUCAGACGUGAAUCCCUCGGCUUAACCGGGAACUGCGUCUGAUACUGGAUGGCUUGAGUUGGGAGAGGAUGCGGAAUUCCAGUGUAGCGGUGAAAUGCGUAGAUAUCUGGAGGAACACCGGUGGCGAAGGCGGCAUCCUGGACCAACACUGACGCUGAGUGAGC
rnacentral:rRNA from 1 species